UACGGAGGGUGCAAGCGUUAUCCGGAUUCACUGGGUUUAAAGGGUGCGUAGGCGGGCAGGUAAGUCAGUGGUGAAAUCUCCGAGCUUAACUCGGAAACUGCCGUUGAUACUAUUUGUCUUGAAUGUUGUGGAGGUAAGCGGAAUAUGUCAUGUAGCGGUGAAAUGCUUAGAUAUGACAUAGAACACCAAUUGCGAAGGCAGCUUACUACACAAUUAUUGACGCUGAGGUGCGAAAGCGUGGGGAGCAAACAGG
rnacentral:rRNA from 1 species